AAUUGGAGAAUGAAAAAUCAGAUUUUCUUCCUGAUUUUUAACUUUUUUCUCCUGAAAAAAAUUCAAAUCCAACUAAAAAUGCUAAAAAUAAAGAGAGAAAAAAAUUUGAUUUGUCAUUCUUCUAUU
rnacentral:pre_miRNA from 1 species